CACACAUACACAAAUAAAUAAAACAUGAUAAAGAAUGCCAAAUAUGUAGAAUACUUGUGUAAUAGUUUACAACAUGCUAAAGCCUGAAAAGAGAACAUAAUAAAAUAAUAUUCAUUAUAAUAUAAAUUAUAAUUAUUCAUUAAUUAAAAAAUCAAAGUAAAUAUUAAUCCAACUUUUAGUAGCACUUAAUUUUUUUUAAAUGGGACUCCAUAUUUCUGAGUUGGCCCUUCUUUGUGUAAAGUUAAUAACAUAAUUUGUCUGGUUUAGGGACCACUUGUAGGGAGAAUGGGAGGGAAUUGAACCCACAUAAUGACAGUAACUCCUAAGAAAAAUGUUAAGUGCCUUUUUUUCUUUUCUGAUAAAUGUCUUACAGAUACCUGUGGUCCCUCAAUGUUCCUCACACAAUAAUGCAAGUCAACUUGAUGGCUGGAAGUUCAUUCAUUUCACAUUUACCAUCUGAUUCCAGCAAGAUUUCAGAGAGGAUUCUGAGAAUUACACGAGUGGCUUCAGAAUGGUCGGAAAGGAGGACAUCCAGAAGCCCUGUGAAGAUAGAUUCAAAGACAAUAGUAGCAUCAACACCUGGCAUCCUUGCAUGGUAAAAAUAAUCCCUUGUCUGUGAAUGUGAAGUAUGGUUAAAUACCUCUGUGGGCAAGUGCAAAUUGAUUAAAUAGUUACUUAUAUUUUGUGUGCAUAUGUGUGUGCACAAGACUUUGGGAGUUGAG
rnacentral:lncRNA from 1 species